rnacentral:rRNA from 1 species
AUUGAACGCUGGCGGCAGGCCUAACACAUGCAAGUCGAACGAGUGGCGGACGGGUGAGUAAUGUCUGGGAAACUGCCCGAUGGGGGGGGAUAACUAUUGGGAACGGUGGCUAAUACCGCAUACCCUUGUCUCUGCCCAGAUGGGAUUCGCUUGUGGGUGAGGUAACGGCUCACCAAGGCGACGAUGCCUAGCGGGUCUGAGAGGAUGAACAGCCACACUGGAACUGAGACACGGUCCAGACUCCUACGGGAGGCAGCAGUGGGGAAUAUUGCACAAUGGGCGAAAGCCUGAUGCAGCCAUGCCGCGUGUAUGAAGAAGGCCUUCGGGUUGUAAAGCACUUUCAGUAGGGAGGCGGUACCCGAAGAGGAAGCACCGGCUAACUCCGUGCCAGCAGCCGCGGUAAUUC